rnacentral:rRNA from 1 species
AUGCACCCAUUCUGCUGCGUGCCCCCCGUGCCCGUCUCCCCCGCCGCGGCUGCGGCGGCGGCGUCGUCCGCGCCCCCCGCGGUGGCGGGCCUCCCUCCCGCGAUGCCGCCGCCGCCGCCGCCCCCGCUCCAGCCCGCCCGCUGCUGCAGCAGCAGCAGCAGCUCGGCAGCGCGGGCGCGCGUGGCGGGCGUCGGCGUUGGGGGCGGCCCCUCCUCGCCGCCUGACGGGGUGAGGCUGAACGAGAUCGUUGGCGGCGGCAUCUCCGGGGUCCUCUACAAGUGGGUCAACUACGGCCGCGGGUGGCGGCCCCGCUGGUUCGCGCUCAGCGACGGCGUGCUCUCCUACUACAAGAUCCACGGGCCCGACCGCAUCGACCUCUCCCGCGACACCGACCGCGGCGCCAAGGUCAUCGGCGAGGACUCGCUCCGCCGCCUCGCGCGCCCCUCCUCCGCCUCCGCCCCCCACUCCAACGGCCACGGCCACCACCAGACGCCCCGCAAGCCCCUCGGCGAAAUCCACCUCAAGGUGUCGACCGUCAGAGAGAGCAGAUCGGACGACAGGAGGUUCUCCAUCUUCUCGGGGACCAAGAGGCUGCACCUGCGGGCCGAGACGAGGGAGGACAGGGCCGCGUGGCUCGAGGCGCUGCGUGCCACCAAGGAGAUGUUCCCGAGGAUGUCCACCAGCGAGAUGGUCGGGCCGGGGGACACUGCGGCGGCCGCGGCGGUCUCCACCGAGCGCCUGAAGAAGCGCCUGCAGCAGGAAGGGGUCAGCGAUGCUGCCAUUGCUGACAGCGAGAGGAUCGUGCGGGAGGAGUUCGAGGCGCUGCACAAGCAGCUUGUGCUUCUCAAGCAGAAGCAGGCGCUACUCCUUGACACGCUCCGCCACCUAGAGACAGAAAAGGUCGAUUUGGAGAAUACCCUCGUUGAUGAGAGCCAAAGACAGUCGAAAGAGUAUGGAUCUGCUUCCAGACCAAGGAAUGAGAAGCUUAGUGAAGGAAGUGGUAGCGAGUCUGAUGAUUACAAUGAACCACAAGAUCCUGCUGAAGAGGAGACUGACGAUGAAGAGAACAUAUAUUUUGAUACAACUGAUUUCCUUUCAUCUAGUUCUUUUAAAAGCAGUGGAUCUGAUUUCCAAAGAUCUGAAGCUGGUUCAGAUGAUGAGGACGACUACCCGAUGGAUGGAAUUGAUCCUUCUAUGAAGUCUGUUGGAAUUAAUUAUCCGUAUGUGAGAAGGCGUAAGAAGCUACCAGAUCCAGUUGAGAAAGAGAAGGGUGUUAGUUUGUGGUCAAUGAUCAAGGACAACAUAGGAAAGGAUCUUACCAAAGUCUGUCUGCCUGUUUACUUCAAUGAACCUCUUUCAUCAUUACAAAAAUGUUUCGAGGAUCUUGAGUAUUCCUACCUUAUUGAUCGUGCAUAUGAAUGGGGCAAAAGGGGGGAUAGUCUGAUGAGGAUUCUAAGCGUUGCAGCAUUUGCUGUUUCUGGUUAUGCCUCUACGGAUGGAAGGAGUUGUAAGCCCUUCAACCCUCUUCUUGGGGAGACCUAUGAAGCAGAUUAUCCAGAUAAAGGUCUUCGUUUUUUCUCAGAAAAGGUUAGUCAUCAUCCAAUGGUUGUUGCAUGCCACUGUGAGGGAAAUGGCUGGAGGUUUUGGGCAGAUAGCAACCUAAAGAGCAAGUUCUGGGGUCGCUCCAUUCAACUUGAUCCUGUUGGUGUGUUAACACUGGAGUUUGAUGAUGGUGAAGUUUUCCAGUGGAGCAAGGUGACCACUUCCAUUUACAAUCUCAUAUUGGGUAAACUGUACUGUGAUCACUAUGGUACUAUGCGCAUUCAAGGUAAUCGCGAAUAUUCAUGUAAGCUGAAGUUCAAGGAGCAGUCAAUUAUUGAUCGCAACCCUCAUCAGGUCCAAGGUGUUAUUCAGGACCGAAGUGGUCGAACUGUUGCUACACUCUUUGGUAAAUGGGAUGAAAGUAUGCACUACGUGAUGGGUGACUGCUUUGGAAAAGGCAAAGGAUCUGAGAAUUUUUCAGAGGCCCAUUUGUUGUGGAAAAGGAGUAAACCACCAAAGUUUCCCACUCGAUACAAUUUCACUAGCUUUGCGAUCACAUUAAAUGAACUUACCCCUGGAUUGAAGGAAAAACUUCCACCAACAGACUCAAGAUUGCGACCGGACCAGAGGUGCCUAGAGAAUGGUGAAUAUGAAAGAGCAAAUGCUGAGAAGUUGAGGCUUGAGCAGAGACAACGGCAGGCACGAAAGAUGCAGGAGAGUGGGUGGAAACCCCGGUGGUUUGCGAAGGAUAAAGGUAGCGACACAUACCGCUACCUUGGUGGUUACUGGGAAUCCAGAGAAAAGAGCAGCUGGGAAGGCUGCCCAGACAUUUUCGGACAACUCCCAAACGAUCUAAUGAUAACUGACUAG